rnacentral:rRNA from 2 species
GCGGGGGGGGGGGGCUAAUACAUGCAAGUCGAGCGGACUGAUGGGAGCUUGCUCCCUGAGGUCAGCGGCGGACGGGUGAGUAACACGUGGGCAACCUGCCUGUAAGACUGGGAUAACUCCGGGAAACCGGGGCUAAUACCGGAUAACUUCUUUCUCCGCAUGGAGAGAGGUUAAAAGACGGUUAUGCUGUCACUUACAGAUGGGCCCGCGGCGCAUUAGCUAGUUGGUGGGGUAACGGCCUACCAAGGCAACGAUGCGUAGCCGACCUGAGAGGGUGAUCGGCCACACUGGGACUGAGACACGGCCCAGACUCCUACGGGAGGCAGCAGUAGGGAAUCUUCCGCAAUGGACGAAAGUCUGACGGAGCAACGCCGCGUGAGCGAAGAAGGCCUUCGGGUCGUAAAGCUCUGUUGUCAGGGAAGAACAAGUUCCGGAGUCACUGCCGGGACCUUGACGGUACCUGACCAGAAAGCCACGGCUAACUACGUGCCAGCAGCCGCGGUAAUACGUAGGUGGCAAGCGUUGUCCGGAAUUAUUGGGCGUAAAGCGCGCGCAGGCGGCCUUUUAAGUCUGAUGUGAAAGCCCACGGCUCAACCGUGGAAGGUCAUUGGAAACUGGAAGGCUUGAGUGCAGAAGAGAAGAGCGGAAUUCCACGUGUAGCGGUGAAAUGCGUAGAGAUGUGGAGGAACACCAGUGGCGAAGGCGGCUCUUUGGUCUGUAACUGACGCUGAGGCGCGAAAGCGUGGGGAGCGAACAGGAUUAGAUACCCUGGUAGUCCACGCCGUAAACGAUGAGUGCUAAGUGUUAUGGGGUUUCCGCCCCUUAGUGCUGCAGCAAACGCAUUAAGCACUCCGCCUGGGGAGUACGGCCGCAAGGCUGAAACUCAAAGGAAUUGACGGGGGCCCGCACAAGCGGUGGAGCAUGUGGUUUAAUUCGAAGCAACGCGAGACCCUUACCAGGUCUUGACAUCCCGCUGACCGUCCUGGAGACAGGGCUUUCCCUUCGGGGACAGCGGUGACAGGUGGGUGCAUGAUGUCGUCAGCUCGUGUCGUGAGAUGUGGCAAGUUCCCGCACGAGCCGCAACCUUGACCUUAGUUGCCAGGCAA